GACGAACGCUGGCGGCGUGCUUAACACAUGCAAGUCGAACGGAAAGGCCCUGCUUUUGUGGGGUGCUCGAGUGGCGAACGGGUGAGUAACACGUGAGUAACCUGCCCUUGACUUUGGGAUAACUUCAGGAAACUGGGGCUAAUACCGGAUAGGAGCUCCUGCUGCAUGGUGGGGGUUGGAAAGUUUCGGCGGUUGGGGAUGGACUCGCGGCUUAUCAGCUUGUUGGUGGGGUAGUGGCUUACCAAGGCUUUGACGGGUAGCCGGCCUGAGAGGGUGACCGGACAGCGUGGGACUGAGCGACGGCCCAGACUCCUACGUGAGGCAGCAGUGGGGAAUAUUGCACAAUGGGCGGAAGCCUGAUGCAGCAACGCCGCGUGCGAGAUGACGGCCUUCGGGUUGUAAACCGCUUUCGCCUGUGACGAAGCGUGAGUGACGGUAAUGGGUAAAGAAGCACCGGCUAACUACGUG
rnacentral:rRNA from 1 species